rnacentral:rRNA from 1 species
GACGAACGCUGGCGGCGCGCCUAACACAUGCAAGUCACACGAGAAAGGGACUUCGGUCCUGAGUACAGUGGCGCACGGGUGAGUAACACGUGAAUCAUCUACCUUCGAGUGGGGAAUAACUGAGAGAAAUCUUAGCUAAUACCGCAUAAUACCUACGGGUCAAAGCAGCAAUGCGCUUGAAGAGGAGUUCGCGGCAGAUUAGUUAGUUGGCGGGGUAAUGGCCCACCAAGACGAUGAUCUGUAUCCGGCCUGAGAGGGCGCACGGACACACUGGAACUGAAACACGGUCCAGACUCCUACGGGAGGCAGCAGUGGGGAAUUUUGCGCAAUGGGGGAAACCCUGACGCAGCAACGCCGCGUGGAGGAUGAAAUCCCUUGGGAUGUAAACUCCUUUCGAUAGGGAAGAUAAUGACGGUACCUAUAGAAG